UGAAACUCGCUUUUUAGCAGGAAGAGAAAUGCAGAAAAACUGGAGAUACUGUGCGAAAUUUGCAUUUACAAGACAAGAUGCUGAAACAGCAGGUGUAAUGAGUGACGUUGUGAUCACCGUAUUGUAUGUCCUUGAAAUAGUGUACACCGUGUUGAUGGCAUUACUGGUCAAAACAGUCAGGUGGAUUAAUGGCUUACUGCCAAUCUACCUUUUAUAAUUCAGUAGCAGAUCACUUCAUGUAAACUGAUUUUGUUCUUCAGAUAUAGUUUGUGUGUAUUUCAAUUAAUUAAAAAUAAUGCUAUGUUCCAAGGA